rnacentral:rRNA from 1 species
CAAGUGGUAGCGCCCUCCCGAAGGUUAGCUACCUACUUCUUUUGCACCCACUCCCAUGGUGAUGACGCUGGCGGCUGUGCCUACACAUGCCCGUGGAACGGUAUUCACCGUGAAGCAGCUUGCUGCUUCGCUGACGAUUGGCGGACGGGUGAGUGAUGUCUGGGAAACUGUCUGAUGGAGUGGGGUUGCAGACUACUGGAAUCCGGUAGCUACUACCGCACUUUAUGAGGUCCGCUUGACUCAUCGAGGGGGUCGCUUCGUGCCUCUUGCUAUGCGCGAUUGUAGCCCAGAUGUGAUUAGCUCGUAGGUGGGGUAAGGGCUCACCUGAUGGCUUGACGUCAUCCCUAGCUGGUCCUCGAGUUUAUGACUGGCAGUCUCACUGGAAUUGAGUUCCCGGUCCGGACUCGCUGGAACGAAAGGAUAUGGGUUGCAGCUCGUUGCGGGACUUAACCCAAUAUUUCACAAUGGGCGCGAGCCUGAUGACAGCCAUGCAGGAACGUGUCUGCAGAAGUUCCUUCGAGGUUGUACCAAUGCUAUCUCUUCAAAGGUGCGGGAUGUGAAGGCGAGUAAGGUUAAUAACCUUGUCGAUUGACGUUACCCUCAGAAUUAAGCACCGUCUUGAACUCAUAGAUGUAUGCCGUGGCGGUAGUAAAGUCGUGUUGUUAUUUUUUUAUAAUUGGAUUGUUAAGCAUUGAAAGACUAAACUUGCUGAGGGCAGACCAACUGUGGGCUGGUCAUUAGAGUCUAUGGAGAGUAUAAUGCAGUAUUUACGUUUGUUCCAGUUGUAACUACCCAAAGGCUUCACGUCUUGAUUAUUUCGUCUUGUCUUGUUGUAUUGCGUGUAUGUAUCGUGCGUGAGCUCUGCUAUAGUGUCUCACGCGUUCUUGACUGUCGAUUAUUCAUUACAAUUGACACUGAUGUCUGUAGUGCGUCUGCAUGUAGUGUCUAGUAACGACGAGUCUCUUUUUCUAUGCUGAAGAUGCAUCGUAGUUAUUAGUAGUAUGAUUGUAUGUCGCUGUGAGUGAUGCUUGUGUUGUCGAUUAUACUCAUGAUGAUGACGUGGAUGAGUGGGGACGUUCGUCGUCUAUCGAUCGAUGCAUCGGCAUCACUGGUGAAGUAACGUUCUUUGAUGUAGUACUGCGUCGAGU